UGCAUGUAUAGAGAAAGAGUGCUGUUUUAAUAUAUGCCGUUUACUUAGCUCUGAGAGGUAAGCGUUCUGUUUGUUACAGGAUUAAUACCCCUCGAAGACAAGGAGGACUUGGGCCAAUAAGGAUUCCACUUCUUUCAGAUUUGACCCAUCAGAUCUCAAAGGACUAUGGUGUAUACCUAGAGGACUCAGGCCACACUCUUAGAGGUCUCUUCAUUAUUGAUGACAAAGGAAUCCUGAGACAAAUUACUCUGAAUGAUCUUCCUGUGGGUAGAUCAGUGGAUGAGACACUACGUUUGGUUCAAGCAUUCCAGUACACUGACAAACACGGAGAAGUCUGCCCUGCUGGCUGGAAACCUGGUAGUGAAACAGUAAGUAUAUAUAUAUUUUUUUAUGUUG
rnacentral:lncRNA from 1 species